GAUGAACGCUGGCGGCGUGCCUAAUACAUGCAAGUCGAGCGAACAGAUGAGGAGCUUGCUCCUCUGACGUUAGCGGCGGACGGGUAAGUAACACGUGGAUAACCUACCUAUAAGACUGGGAUAACUUCGGGAAACCGGAGCUAAUACCGGAUAAUAUAUUGAACCGCAUGGUUCAAUAGUGAAAGACGGUUUUGCUGUCACUUAUAGAUGGAUCCGCGCCGCAUUAGCUAGUUGGUAAGGUAACGGCUUACCAAGGCGACGAUGCGUAGCCGACCUGAGAGGGUGAUCGGCCACACUGGAACUGAGACACGGUCCAGACUCCUACGGGAGGCAGCAGUAGGGAAUCUUCCGCAAAGGGCGAAAGCCUGACGGAGCAACGCCGCGUGAGUGAUGAAGGUCUUCGGAUCGUAAAACUCUGUUAUUAGGGAAGAACAAAUGUGUAAGUAACUAUGCACGUCUUGACGGUACCUAAUCAGAAAGCCACGGCUAACUACGUG
rnacentral:rRNA from 1 species